UGCCCCAUGGCUGAGUUGGUUACAGCGUCCGACUGUUAUGUGCUGCGUCAAUGGAGACCUAACAUCGGAAGGUCGUGAGUUCGAGCCUCACUGGGGCAG
rfam:Moniliophthora roreri strain MCA 2952 kmer90.94530, whole genome shotgun sequence.